ensembl:lncRNA
CUUCCUUUCUCCUCUCCCUCCCCAACCCCACACCGGACUUCCUUCCCCCUCCCCUCCACCCGCGGCUGCCGGAGCCCCCAAGCCCGGUGUACAGUUCGAGUAAGAGAACCAGGACAAUUCCAAGCAGAUCUAGAAGGAACGUUCCUUAUGCUAUGAUUGAUCGAAUGAUGUAAUUGUAAUUCAGGAAAGGAAGAACAAUAAGAAAUAGGCCUGAGUUUCCAGCAUCUUACGGGGACCGCCGGCAGCGAUCUGAUGGCAUCUCUGUCCACCUCCGUGGAUGCUGGAAUCUCCGGGCUGGUUCUGGCUCCACUGGGCUGUGUGGUCCGAGCAUUCGCCUCUUCUUAGGGUGAGGUCGCUGCGACUCGUUUCAGCCACUGGCUCCUGGACACGUGGGUGUGCACAGAGUUUUCGCCCCCCUCUCAACUCAGGAACUGUCUCAUCCCACGAGCCUCAUAGUUCAGUGUCCCACAAAAAUGGGGACUUUGGCAGCAGUGACUGCUCAGCACAGGAAGUUAUCCAGCGCCCUGAACAAAGCCUUCAGUGUGCCAGAGUUCAAAAUAAGAAAACAGUAAACAAACAAACAAACAAAUCCUGGGAGGAAACAAGGCGUGGGGCAGAGGAAAACUUCACAGAAAUCUCAGACCUCCCAAGACAUACUAAAAAAGUUUUGUGGAAG